rnacentral:rRNA from 1 species
GACGAACGCUGGCGGCGUGCUUAACACAUGCAAGUCGAACGGUAAGGCCCUUCGGGGUACACGAGUGGCGAACGGGUAAGUAACACGUGGGUGAUCUGCCCUGCACUUCGGGAUAAGCCUGGGAAACUGGGUCUGAUACCGGAUAGGACUCCUGGCUUCCUGGUUGGGGGUGGAAAGCUUUUGCGGUGUGGGAUGGGCCCGCGGCCUAUCAGCUUGUUGGUGGGGUAAUGGCCUACCAAGGCGACGACGGGUAGCCGGCCGGAGAGGGUGACCGGUCACACUGGGACUGAGAUACGGCCCAGACUCCUACGGGAGGCAGCAGUGGGGAAUACUGCACAAUGGGCGCAAGCCUGAUGCAGCGACGCCGCGUGAGGGAUGACGGCCUUCGGGUUGUAAACCUCUUUCAGCUAUGACGAAGCGCAAGUGACGGUAGUAGCAGAAGAAGGACCGGCCAACUACGUGCCAGCCGCCGCCGUAA